AACGAACGCUGGCGGCAUGCCUAACACAUGCAAGUCGAACGAGACCUUCGGGUCUAGUGGCGCACUGGUAGGUAAGCGGAGGGAACCGUCCCUUGGGUUGGAACUACCUCCCAGAAGGGGGCACCAUUACGGAACAAAUUCUUCGACCCAAAAAUUACUGUCAUUAGAAUGGGCCAGCUUUGAAUAUGCAGUUUUGUCGGCUAAAGACGGACCCGCGUUGGAUUAGCUAGUUGGUAAGGUAGAAGCCCACCAAGGCGACGAUCCAUAGCUGGUCUGAGAGGAUGAUCAGCCACACUGGGACUGAGACACGGCCCAGACUCCUACGGGAGGCAGCAGUUGGGAAUAUUGGACAAUGGGCGAAAGCCUGAUCCAGCAAUGCCGCGUGAGUGAUGAAGGACUUAGGGUUGUAAAGCUCUUUUACCCGGGAUGAUAAUGACAGUACCGGGAGAAUAAGCUCCGGCUAACUCCGUG
rnacentral:rRNA from 1 species